CGGGGCUCUCAAUCCUGAUCCGCUGCGUCGGUGACUGUUGAGUGCCCCUGCUCGAGCUUGAAUAAAUGACCCUCGUGUGUUUACAUCGGAAUCAGCUCCUUGGUGGUCUUUGGGGACCUCGCGAUCUGGGCACAACAGAACUACUACAGGGCUGCUGCUGCAGAAAUGAAUAAUUGCCCUAAAGAUCAUCUGGCCUGCAAAACUGAGUAUGUUUACUAGCUGGCUCUUCACAGAAAAAGUGUGAGGACUCUGUCUGCCUUAGGACCACCACUCCAAGGAGGAUGGCAGUUAGGAUGGCCCUGCUUCGGUAAUUGUUUCGGGCCCUAUCAUGGGAACUCAGGGCAGAGCGAUGAACACGGACAGGGAGGAGUGCCUGUUCUCAGGGGCUGGCCAUCCUACUGGCGGGAGCAGGAGGAAACACCUAAGAGCACUGGAUAGCAUGUUCCUGACAAUUCAGAGUAGAGACCAGUAAAUCCAGAAGUCUGAACUUGGAAACAGCCCAAUUGCCCAUCAGUUGGAGACUUGGAGACUGGAUGAAGAAAAUGUGUUUUUUUAUAAAAUGAAGUACCACUCAGCCAUAAAGAAUGAGAAGCUAGAGACAUUUAUAGCUAAAUGGAUGCACAUUGAGGCCAUACUCUUAAGUGAAAUAAAUAGGACAUAUGUGUAAAUAUCGAAUCGUUUCUCUGGUGUGAGAAACAAAGUGUAAAUAAGGAUCAAAAUGUACAAUAGAUAAUGUGAAAUACAAAGAAAAGGUGCAAAGGGG
ensembl:lncRNA